UCUCCUGUAGCUCAGCUGGUAGAGCAUUGAUCUUAUGUGGGUACCGCGCCUUCAUGCCAGUCAAUGGUCGUCGGUUCGAUCCCGACCAGGAGAA